ACCCGCUGAACUUAAGCAUAUCAAUAAGCGGAGGAAAAGAAACCAACAGGGAUUGCCUCAGUAACGGCGAGUGAAGCGGCAACAGCUCAAAUUUGAAAUCUGGCCGUUCGGCGGUCCGAGUUGUAAUUUGCAGAGGAUGCUUCGGGUGCGGCGCCGGUCUAAGUUCCUUGGAACAGGACGUCAUAGAGGGUGAGAAUCCCGUAUGUGACCGGCGACCUGGCCCGUGUGAAGCUCCUUCAACGAGUCGAGUUGUUUGGGAAUGCAGCUCUAAGCGGGUGGUAAAUUUCAUCUAAAGCUAAAUACCGGCCAGAGACCGAUAGCGCACAAGUAGAGUGAUCGAAAGAUGAAAAGCACUUUGGAAAGAGAGUUAAAAAGUACGUGAAAUUGUUGAAAGGGAAGCGCUUGCGACCAGACUUGCUCACAGGCGAUCAGCCGUCCUUCUGGGCGGUGCACUCGCCUGUGAUCAGGCCAGCAUCGGUUCGGGCGGCCGGAUAAAGGCCCCGGGAAUGUGGCUCCCCUCGGGGAGUGUUAUAGCCCGGGGUGCAAUGCGGCCCGCCGGGACCGAGGACCGCGCUUCGGCUAGGAUGCUGGCGUAAUGGUCGUAAGCGACCCGUCUUGAAACACGGACCAAGGAGUCUAACAUCUGUGCGAGUGUUUGGGUGUCAAACCCAUGCGCGGAAUGAAAGUGAACGGAGGUGGGAACCCUUCAGGGUGCACCAUCGACCGAUCCUGAUGUCUUCGGAUGGAUUUGAGUAAGAGCAUAGCUGUUGGGACCCGACAGAUGGUGAACUAUGCCUGAAUGGGGUGAAGCCAGAGGAAACUCUGGUGGAGGCUCGCAGCGGUUCUGACGUGCAAAUCGAUCGUCAAAUUUGGGUAUAGGGGCGAAAGACUAAUCGAACCAUCUAGUAGCUGGUUCCUGCCGAAGUUUCCCUCAGGAUA
rnacentral:rRNA from 1 species